rnacentral:rRNA from 1 species
CCUUGUUGAUCCUGCCAGUAGCAUGUGCUUGUCUCAAAUAUUAAGCCAUUCAUGUUUAAGUACACACGGCCGGUACAGUGAAACUGCAAAUGGCUCAUCAAAUCAGUUAUGGUUCCUUUGGUCGCUCCCACCAUUCCUUGGAUAACUGUGAUAAUUCUAGAGCUAAUACAUGCUGACGAGCACUGACCUCCGGGGAUGCGUGCAUUUAUCAGACCAAAACCAAGCCGGGUCGCCUGGCCACUUUGAUGACUCUAGAUAACCUCGGGCCAAUCGCACGCCCCCCUUGCAGCGAUGAUGCAUUCAAAUGUCUACCCUACCAACUUUUGAUGGUACUUUCUGUGCAUACCAUGGUGACCAUGGGUAAUGGGGAAUCAGGGUUCGAUUCCAGAGAGGGAGCCUGAGAAACGGAUACCACAUCUAAGGAAGGCAGCAGGCACACAAAUUACCCACUCCCGACCCAGGGAGGUAGUGCCAAAAAAUAACAAUACAGAACUCUUUUGAGGGCCUGUAAUUGGAAUGAGUACACUUUAAAUCCUUUAACAAGGUUCCAGCAGCCUUGGUAAUUCCAUCUCCAAGAGCGUAUAUUAAAGUUGCUGCAGUUAAAAAGCUCGUAGUUGGAUCUUGGGAUAUAGCUGAUGGUCCACUGCGAGGCGAGCUACUGCCUGUCUCAGCCCCUGCCUCUCGGUGCUCCCUUGAUGUUCUUAACUGAGUGUCCUGGGGGUCCGAAGCGUUUACUUUGAAAAAAUUAGAGUGUUCAAAGCAUGCCGGUCACCAGAAUACUCCUGCUAGGAAUAAUGGAAUAGGACUCCAGUUCUAUUUUGUUGGUUUUCGGAACUGGAGCCAUGAUUAAGAGGCAAGGCCAGGGGCAUUCGUAUUGUGCCACUAGAUGUGAAAUUCUUGGACCGGCGCAGGACAAAUUAAAGCGAAAGCAUCUGCCAAGAAUGUUUUCAUUCAUCAAGAACAAAUGUUGGAGGUUCGAAGACUAUCAGAUACCGUAAUAGUUCCGAACAUAAAUGAUGCCGACUAGACAUUCCAGUGGCAUUAUUCCCAUGACCCACUGGGCAGCUUCCGGGAAACCAAAGUCUUUGGGUUCCGGGGGAGUACGGUUGCAAAGCUGAAACUAAAAGGAAUUGACAGUAGGGCACCACCAGGUGUGGAGCCUGCGGCUUAAUUUGACUCAACACGGGAAACCUCACCCAAUCUGGACACGGAAAGGAUUGACAGAUUGAUAGCUCUCUCUUGAUUCUGUGGGUGGUGGUGCAUUGCCAUUCUUAGUUGGUGGAGCAAUUUGUCUGAUUAAUUCCGAUAACAAACAAGACUCUGGAAUACUAACUAGUUAUGUGACCCCCGAGCAGUCGGCGUCCAACUUCUUAGAGGGACAAGUGGUGUUCAGCCACCCGAGAUUGAACAAUAACAGGUCUGUGAUAUCCUUAGAUGUCUGGGGCUGCAUGCACGCUACACUGACUGGCUCAGCGUGUGCCUACCCUACGCUGACAGGUGCGGGUAAGCCAUUGAACCCCAUUCAUGAUGGGGAUCAGGGAUUGCAAUUAUUCUCCAUGAACGAGGAAUUCCAAGUAAGUGCGGGUCAUAAGUGCGACCAGGUAC